AAAACCUUCAAAAGAGAAAUAUCUUAGAGAACUGCUAGAGUGGCCAAGACUGGGUCCAUGGAAGAAAAGGGUAUAUACCAACUAUCUCAGGCAGAAGUCCGCAGAAGGCCGCAGAACUCCGCAGAAGGCCGCAGAACUCCGCAGAAGGCCGCAGAACUCCGCAGAAGUCCGCACACAGUAAGGAAGUUGCCUCCGCGUCCAGCCCGCUGAUUGAGCAGGCCGAGAGCCAAUGCGCAAAGAAGGUCCGUUUCCGUUUGUUUUCCUCAUACUUUUCCUUCUUUCUGACCAGUAAGCCACAGAGUUAUGGAAAAGGCUGGGGAAGAAUCUGUGGCCGAGUCCUUCUUCCCACAGGUCCACUAAUUAUGGAGAACCAAAGUUUUUUCUUAAAACUGACGGGACAAUCGAUGAACCUGACCACUGCAGACAUGGACUUCCCUAAACUUCAAUCUGUGGAGAGAGGCCUCAGAGUCUUCACUCGCUAUUUCAUUUUCAGGCUCCUUCCAGCAAAAUAAAAGUAAAAACAACAGCUAUUUGAUGGCUCAUUGCCUUUGUUUCCCUGGUAGAUCCUCAGGGACGUUCCAAGGACAUUCUACUUUGAGUGUCAUAGAAAAAGCACCAGAAUCACAGUCUGAUAUCUUAAGAGUGACAAGAGACCAGCAUUCAAGACUUAGCUUCUGAUAAUGGUAUGUAUGGAUAAAGCCACUUGCUUCCUGCAUGACAAUGGCCAGGUUCUUUUACCUCUCUGUGUCUAAAUUUCCAUCCUUAUUUAAAGGAGACCUUGGAGUAGUGUUUGAAAUUCUGUAUACAGGAUUUUAUUAUUAUUAUUGUUAUUAACUAGAUAAAAU
rnacentral:lncRNA from 10 species